rnacentral:misc_RNA from 1 species
AAAAUUAUUUGAACGGAUAUUGAUAUAGCACAAUUUAGGAAAUAUGGAAGACUCACAGAAGCCAGAACCACCAUUUUUACCCAAGCAUAUAAAGGAGAACUGGAUUGGUCCCCCAGAUCCAGUGUCCAAGAUCAGGCCAAUAAGGCAUUUUAUUCCGGAAAAUGAAACAGUAAUUGAAAAACUGUUAAGAGAAAAGCAUGCUAAUGUUCUUGAAUGGAAUCAUACCUACUGGAAGAAACACAACAAGGCCUUCAAGCGGGAGCGUCGCCAGUUCGUGGAGCAGCUCCAGGAGCGUCAGGGUGCCGACACGGCAGUCACCGACGAUCAGAUGGCCGACUUCUACCGUGACUUUAUGGAGCGCAACCAGCGCAAACACCGCCAGUACAACCUGCAGUGGUACGGCCACAGCGCUCGGCUGCUCGGCCUGGCCGGCCUGGUGGCGCCACUGCGGCUCCUGAGGGCGCUGCGCCUGCUCCGGUGACCGCGUGGGUCGUGAGAGUGUCAGAGCACACCUCUGGUGACUCCCCUGUGAGUAGCCCACUUGUGAAUAUAGCUCAUUUAUGCCAGUAAGUUAACCUCCACUGUUUUCUGACCUUUGAGGAUUGAGAAUAGCUCACUUGUGCCAGAAAGUUGACCAGUCUACUAUCUAACCUAUGCAGAUAGCUCAUUUCUGCGAAUUGUUGACAUGUUCUGCAGAAGGCUUUCCUGUACAAUUUGCUCACAUCUGUGGGUAGCUCAAAAGGGUGGUCAUCGCAUUUGCAGACAAUCCCUGAUAACUAAAGCUACUGACGUUUGCUGGGGUUGAGGCGUAAGCCGCAUGGUAUAGUGAUGUUGAUGUGAUACGACUGUGUGUGCUGGAGCUUGAUUUGUUAAAGUGUAGGUUGCAAGUGGGCAUUGGCUGGUGGCAAGAGUUUUUUAGGUAUCGGUUGCAUAUAUGCAAAUACCUUGGACGUUUCUGUGACGAUGUGCGCCAC